rnacentral:rRNA from 1 species
GACGAACGCUGGCGGCGUGCCUAACACAUGCAAGUCGAGCGGAGAUACAUUGAAGAGCAAUCAGAUAUGUAUCUUAGCGGCGGACGGGUGAGUAACGCGUGGGCAACCUGCCUCAUACUGGGGGAUAACACAGGGAAACUUGUGCUAAUACCGCAUAAUAUCAUUAUAGGGCAUCCUGUGAUGAUCAAAGGAGCAAUCCGGUGUGAGAUGGGCCCGCGUCCAAUUAGCUAGUUGGUGAGGUAACGGCCCACCAAGGCGACGAUUGGUAGCCGAACUGAGAGGUUGAUCGGCCACAUUGGGACUGAGACACGGCCCAGACUCCUACGGGAGGCAGCAGUGGGGAAUAUUGCGCAAUGGGGGAAACCCUGACGCAGCAACGCCGCGUGAAGGAUGAAGGUCUUCGGAUUGUAAACUUCUUUGAUGAGGGACGAACACAAUGACGGUACCUCAAAACAAGCCACGGCUAACUACGUGCCAGC